AAUGAACGCUGGCGGCGUGCCUAACACAUGCAAGUUGAGCGGUAAGGCCCCUUCGGGGGUACACGAGCAGCGAACGGGUGAGUAUCGCGUGGGUAAUCUACCUAGAGGUGGGGGAGAGCCUCGGGAAACCGAGGGUAAUACCGCAUGAGUCCUCGACGACAUAAGUCGACGAGGGGAAAGGCGGGGCGUCCUUCGGGACCUGUCGCCUCUGGAUGAGCCCGCGUCCGAUUAGCUUGUUGGUGAGGUAAUGGCUCACCAAGGCAACGAUCGGUAGCCGGCCUGAGAGGGUGAACGGCCACAUUGGGACUGAGACACGGCCCAGACUCCUACGGGAGGCAGCAGUGGGGAAUAUUGGGCAAUGGGGGAAACCCUGACCCAGCGACGCCGCGUGGAGGAUGACGGCCUUCGGGUUGUAAACUCCUGUCAGGUGGGAAGAAAAGCCUGUCGGAUAAUACCCGGCAGGAAUUGACGGUACCACCAAAGGAAGCCCCGGCUAACUCCGUG
rnacentral:rRNA from 1 species